GAUGAACGCUGGCGGCGUGCUUAACACAUGCAAGUCGAGCGAACAGACGAGGAGCUUGCUCCUUUGACGUUAGCGGCGGACGGGUGUGUAACAUGUGGAUAACCUACCUAUAAGACUGGGAUAACUACGGGAAACCGGAGCUAAUACCGGAUAAUAUAUUGAACCGCAUGGUUCAAUAGUGAAAGUCGGCUUUGCUGUCACUUCUAGAUGGAUCCGCGCCGCAUGUGCUAGUUGGUAAGGUAACGGCCUACCACGGCGACGAUGCGUAGCCGACCUGAUAGGGUGAUCGCCCACACUGGAGGGUAGACGCCGACCUGAGGCCUGCGAGAGGCAGCAGAAGGGUAUCGGACGCAACGGGCGGAAACCUUACAGAGCGACGCCAAGCCAGUGGCGGGAGGCUUCGGUUCGUAAGACUCUGUUAUUAGGGAAAAACAGAUUUGGAAGGAGCAGAACAGGUAUUGACGGUAAUUGAUCAGGAAGCAACGGCUAACUACGUG
rnacentral:rRNA from 1 species